rnacentral:pre_miRNA from 1 species
AGCCUUCUGUAUCCGUGCUGAGAUUUCGUCACACACCAACCCAUUAGAGCUGAUCAGACUUCCAAGAUAAGUGAAGCU